CGGGACGGGUGAGUAAUGUCUGGGAAACUGCCUGAUGGAGGGGGAUAGCUACUGGAAACGGUAGCUAAUACCGCAUAACGUCGCAAGACCAAAGAGGGGGACCUUAGGGCCUCUUGCCAUCGGAUGUGCCCAGAUGGGAUUAGCUAGUAGGUGGGGUAACGGCUCACCUAGGCGACGAUCCCUAGCUGGUCUGAGAGGAUGACCAGCCACACUGGAACUGAGACACGGUCCAG
rnacentral:rRNA from 1 species